GACGAACCGUACAAACGUUAUUCGGAAUCACUGGGCUUAAAGGGUGCGUAGGCUGUCCUGUAAGUUGGGUGUGAAAGCCCUCGGCUCAACCGAGGAAUUGCGCUCAAUACUGCAGGACUUGAGGAAGACAGAGGUGAGCGGAACUUAGGGUGGAGCGGUGAAAUGCGUUGAUAUCCUAAGGAACACCUGGGGCGAAAGCGGCUCACUGGGUCUUCUCUGACGCUGAGGCACGAAAGCUAGGGUAGCGAACGGG
rnacentral:rRNA from 1 species